AACUAAGUUUGUUAUUGGUAUGAGCUUUCGUGUGCAUGCACACUUCCGAAGGUAUCUGAAGAAGUGUGCAUGCACACGAAAGCUCAUACCAAGGUGCUACUGGAAGGAA